rnacentral:misc_RNA from 1 species
GAUGAAGAACGUAGCGAAAUGCGAUAAGUAAUGUGAAUUGCAGAAUUCAGUGAAUCAUCGAAUCUUUGAACGCACCUUGCACCCUUUGGCAUUCCGAAGGGUAUGCUCGUUUGAGUGUCAUUGUACUCUCACACUUCCGAUCUUUGGAUUGGGAGCGGUGGACUUGGGUGUUGCUGCUUACUGUGGCUCACCUCAAAUCGAUUCGUGCACCUCUUGGUUGGACAUAGUACGGCGUGAUAAGUGUCUUCGCCGGCACCUCAGUAGAGGGUGGCUGAUCGGGAGCUCUGCUUCAAACCGUCCUCGGACAACGACUGACAACUUGACCUCAAAUCGAGUAGGACUACCCGCUGAACUUAAGCAUAUCAAUAAGCGGAGGA